rnacentral:rRNA from 1 species
AUUGAACGCUGGCGGCAGGCCUAACACAUGCAAGUCGAGCGGAGCGGCGGACGGGUGAGUAAUGCCUAGGAAUCUGCCUGGUCGUGGGGGAUAACGUCGGAAACGGGCGCUAAUACCGCAUACUAUCAGAUGAGCCUAGGUCGGAUUAGCUAGUUGGUGGGGUAAAGGCCUACCAAGGCGACGAUCCGUAACGGGUCUGAGAGGAUGAUCAGUCACACUGGAACGGAGACACGGUCCAGACUCCUACGGGAGGCAGCAGUGGGGAAUAUUGCACAAUGGGCGCAAGCCUGAUGCAGCCAUGCCGCGUGUAUGAAGAAGGCCUUCGGGUUGUAAAGUACUUUUAGUUGGGAGGCGUUACCAACAGAAUAAGCACCGGCUAACUUCGUGCCAGCAGCCGCGGUAAUAC